rnacentral:rRNA from 1 species
GACGAACGCUGGCGGCGUGCCUAACACAUGCAAGUCGAGCGAAGUUAUUCCUUCGGGAAUAACUUAGCGGCGGACGGGUAAGCAACACGUGGGUAACCUGCCUUAUAGAGGGGGAUAGCCUUCCGAAAGGAAGAUUAAUACCGCAUAACAUUGAGCUUUCGCAUGGAAGUUCAAUCAAAGGAGUAAUCCGCUAUAAGAUGGACCCGCGGCGCAUUGGCUAGUUGGUGAGGUAACGGCUCACCAAGGCGACGAUGCGUAGCCGACCUGAGAGGGUGAUCGGCCACAUUGGGACUGAGACACGGCCCAGACUCCUACGGGAGGCAGCAGUGGGGAAUAUUGCACAAUGGGGGAAACCCUGAUGCAGCAACGCCGCGUGAGUGAUGAAGGCCUUCGGGUUGUAAAGCUCUGUCUUUGGGGACGAUAAUGACGGUACCCAAGGAGGAAGCCACGGCUAACUACGUGCCAGCAGCCGCCGUAACAC